UAACACUUCAUGACUGAGAGCAGAACAGAACACAAUCUUCAUCAUCACACAAGACACAACAACAACAACAAUGAACAACAUCAUCAUCCUCAUCUGGACUCUCACACUGUUUGCUCAAGAUAGUAGAGGACAGAUCACUGUUACUCAGGGUCCAUCAAUAACAGCAGCUCAACCAGGACAAGAAGUCAGAAUAAACUGUAAAAGCAGCAGUAAUGUCUACAGUGAUAGUAAUGGCUUAUGGAUGAGCUGGUAUUUACAGAAACCUGGAGAAGCUCCUAAACUCCUCAUAUAUCUUGCAUCAACCCGUUACACUGGAACUCCAUCUAGAUUCAGUGGCAGUGGAUCUAACAGUGAUUUCACUCUGACCAUCAGUGGAGUCCAGACUGAAGAUACAGGAGAUUAUUACUGUCUGACUUACCACUGGAUCAACAGUAAAGCUGUGUUCACACAGUGAUAAAGAGUCGUACAAAAACCUCCGUCAGUCAGAGUCACAGUGACUGCACUGAUACAGCUGAGAGAUACUGCAGCUGCUGAUGGAUGUGAUGAAUCUCAGUCACUCUUGUCUGUAGAUCAUUAAAUUUCAAUGCAGAAAACUAACUAUCUGUUAGCAGAAACCAAACAUUUACAUUCAUAAGUUUAAUGAAGGACACUUUUCCAUCAUUAAAGUUUAUGAAAUAGCCUCAAAGUCCAGAUUGAGUCUUUCCUUCACUACACAACUCUCAGACUACAUGAAUCACUGCU